rnacentral:rRNA from 1 species
CUUUUAAUGAGAGUUUGAUCCUGGCUCAGGACGAACGCUGGCGGCGUGCCUAAUACAUGCAAGUAGAACGCUGAAGGAGGAGCUUGCUUCUCCGGAUGAGUUGCGAACGGGUGAGUAACGCGUAGGUAACCUGCCUGGUAGCGGGGGAUAACUAUUGGAAACGAUAGCUAAUACCGCAUAA